GAUGAACGCUGGCGGCGUGCUUAACACAUGCAAGUCGAACGAAGCACUUUAUUUGAUUUCCUUCGGGACUGAUUAUUUUGUGACUGAGUGGCGGACGGGUGAGUAACGCGUGGGUAACCUGCCUUGUACAGGGGGAUAACAGUUGGAAACGGCUGCUAAUACCGCAUAAGCGCACGGCAUCGCAUGAUUCAGUGUGAAAAGCUCCGGUGGUAUAAGAUGGACCCGCGUUGGAUUAGCUAGUUGGUAAGGUAACGGCCCACCAAGGCGACGAUACAUAGCCGACCUGAGAGGGUGACCGGCCACAUUGGGACUGAGACACGGCGCAAACUCCUACGGGAGGCAGCAGUGGGGAAUAUUGCAAAAUGGGCGAAAGCCUGAUGCAGCGACGCCGCGUGAGCGAAGAAGUAUUUCGGUAUGUAAAGCUCUAUAAGCAGGGAAGAUAAUGACGGUACCUGACUAAGAAGCACCGGCUAAAUACGUG
rnacentral:rRNA from 1 species